rnacentral:rRNA from 1 species
UACGAGGGGUGCAAGCGUUGCUCGGAAUUAUUGGGCGUAAAGGGUAGGUAGGUGGUCUCAUUUGUCUGCGGUGAAAGCCUUGGGCUUAACUCAAGAAGUGCCGCAGAAACGGUGAGACUAGAGUUCUGGAGAGGGUCGUGGAAUUCCCGGUGUAGCGGUGAAAUGCGUAGAGAUCGGGAGGAACACCAAUUGCGAAGGCAGCUCACUACACAAAGAUUGACACUGAGGCACGAAAGCGUGGGGAUCAAACAGG